UAGGGAAUCUUCGGCAAUGGACGCAAGUCUGACCGAGCAACGCCGCGUGAGUGAAGAAGGUUUUCGGAUCGUAAAACUCUGUUGUUAGAGAAGAACAAGGCUGAGAGUAGAAUGUUCAUCACUUGACGGUAUCUAACCAGAAAGCCACGGCUAACUACGUGCCAGCAGCCGCGGUAAUACGUAGGUGGCAAGCGGUGUCCGGAUUUAUUGGGCGUAAAGCGAGCGCAGGCGGUUUCUUAAGUCUGAUGUGAAAGCCCCCGGCUCAACCGCGGACGGUCAUUCGAAACUGGGAAACUUGAGUGAAGAAGAGGAGGGUGCAAUUCCAGGUGUAGCGGUGAAUUACACACAUAUAUGGAGGAAGACCAGUGGCGAAGACGGCUCUCUGGUCGGUAACUAACACUAAGUCUAUAAAGCGUGGGGAGCAAACAGG
rnacentral:rRNA from 1 species